ensembl:lncRNA
CCUGAGUCCAACGGGACGCCCAGUGGAAACACAGACAGUAACACGAUGAGGAGCAGGUCAGGGUUAGACAGUACAGAGACAGGUCAUUAAGGAGCAGGUAGGGGUUAGACAGUAGAGAGACAGGUCAUUAAGGAGCAGGUAGGGGUUAGACAGUACAGAGACGGGUCAUUAAGGAGCAGGUAGGGGUUAGACAGUACAGAGACAGGUCAUUAAGGAGCAGGUAGGGGUUAGACAGUACAGAGACAGGUCAUUAAGGAGCAGGUAGGGGUUAGACAGUACAGAGACAGGUCAUUAAGGAGCAGGUAGGGGUUAGACAGUACAGAGACAGGUCAUUAAGGAGCAGGUAGGGGUUAGACAGUACAGAGACA